rnacentral:misc_RNA from 1 species
UUUCCGUAGGUGAACCUGCGGAAGGAUCAUUAUUGUAUAACCGAGGUGCGAGGGCUGUCGCUGACCCGAAAGGUCGUGCACGCCCGAGUGCCCUCACAUGCAUCCAUCUCACCCCUAUGUGCACCACCGCGUGGGUCCCCCUUUGGCUUGUUCGGAGGGGGGCUUACGUUUUCACACAAACUUUGUAUGCAGUGUAGAAUGUAUUUUUUGUUUUUGCGAUCACGCAAUCAAUACAACUUUCAACAACGGAUCUCUUGGCUCUC